UGGACAAGAAGAGGCACACAGACUUCUGAAUGGCUGAAUGCACAAGUGUCCUUGAGUGCUCCAGAUAUUCAGCGAGUGAAAUUCUCCGGGAACAGAACAGUUGGAGGCAGUGGGUUCAUAGCUAUUGAUGACUUCAGAGUGACUACAGGGGCUUGUGAGGAUCACAACCCAUGUGGAUUUGAGUCCCUCUCACUAUGUGGCUUUGAAAAUGAUGUGACUGACAGUUCUGUCUGGCACCAUGUGGAUGGCAGCAGUGGUCACACUGACCAUACAUACAGAUC